CAGUAGCCGCGGUAAUACGUAGGUAGCAAGCGUUGUCCGGAAUUAUUGGGCGUAAAGGGCUCGCAGGCGGUUUCUUAAGUCCGAUGUGAAAGCCCCCGGCUCAACCGGGGAGGGUCAUUGGAAACUGGGAAACUUGAGUGCAGAAGAGGAGAGUGGAAUCCCACGUGUAGCGGUGAAAUGCGUAGAGAUGUGGAGGAACACCAGUGGCGAAGGCGACUCUCUGGUCUGUAACUGACGCUGAGGAGCGAAAGCGUGGGGAGCGAACAGGAUUAGAUACCCGCGUAGUCCCUGUCUCUUAUAC
rnacentral:rRNA from 1 species